GUCGCUCAUUUGAUGCGUCAGCUCGCGAGCGCGGCGUGCAGAUGCCCAGCUCAUUCUCAAGCAUAUUCCCACACUUAUAACCGAGUUUCUACAGGUGAGGUUCU